rnacentral:rRNA from 1 species
CUUGGUGACUGGAGCGGCGAGGUCACACCCGGUCCCAUUCCGAACCCGGUCGUUAAGCUCGCCAGCGCCGAUGGUAGUGCGCGGGAAGCCGCGUGCAAGAGUAGGUCGUUGCCAGGA